UGUUUAUAAAUUCCAUAUGUGGUGGGAUGGCAUUGUUGGCUCUUGUCGCUUCUGCCUUCUAGUUAGUCUGGGUUAGUCUGGGUUAAGACUAUUAAUAUUAUUAAUUGAAUUAGCAUAAAACCUUAAAUUAUUCCCAAUUCACGAUUCCACUUAACAUCACAAUUCACUGGGUAUUCUAGUCUGCCAUCUCCCAAGUGUAGCAUUGGUAAUUCAUUCUAUAUCUCUAGUCUCAAUCGUUGCUCAACUUGUCAGUAAGUCUUCUUCUUCCUGAUUUGUUAUUUAUCUCCUUGUUUACUGAAAUGGGUCUACUGUAAUCUCUGGUCUUAGUGCUUGUUUUUCUAUUUGAAAUGGUGAUGAUCUCUGUUUCAGUUUUUGUUUACUGAAAUCUGUUAAUGUUUCAGUUUUAUUUAAUCAAAUGAGUUUCUGUUUGAAAUGGUGAUAAUCUUUGUUUUAGUUUUUGUUUACUAAAAUCCAUUGAUGUUUCAGUUUUUGAUUUGUUUACUCAAAUGAUGAUCUCUGUUUGAAAUGAGUUUUUGAGCCAAAUAUUGCCCAGGAAACCAGAUAAUGUUCUUCAGUGUUGCUGGGUAAUUGAUUAAAUCAUCACAUUUUCACUUUAUUUCUACCUUCCACCUCCGUUCCACGUAUCUCUGGUAAUUAUCAAUCUUUCCGUUAUCCAUAUAAUUGUUUAUUUCUCUCUGUUUUCCUGUCAAGAUGAGCUUCCUAUUUUCUUCUGUUUGGUUGCUAAGAAAAUUUUUGUUAUUUGUUUAGAAUUUUUUUUAUGUUUAUGAAUGAGGUGAAUUAAGCUCUUCAAUAUUCUGGGUAACGAAUUUGUGCUUAAUUUUUGCAACAAAUGAACUGAGUUUUAUAAUUCAAUAGAUUUUAAAUUGAUAAUUAUGGUUCAGAAAUUUCUUCUCAUGAAAACUAAUUUAAUAUCUAUAUGAUUUAUUUGGAGUUUAUAUUCCUAAAACAACAUUACAUGACAAUUUUUUCUCCAGUUUGGGAAUGACCUCUUCAAUGGGUUUCCUCAAAUUCCUAAUAAAAAUACUCUAUCUCCAAAUCUUCUAACACCCAUUGCAAAAAAGGUAUCAAAUCCAAAAUAGCUCUUCAGCUGCCAUUUCAAAAUCAAACAAAUGAUUAUAUUAUAGUCAUAAUUUAGUUUCUUUUUUAUAUAACCAAGCAUAACAAAAUAUGUUUUAGCUUUAAUAAAUAAAAGAAACACCUUGUCUAAAUAAAUAAUUUAAGUGUACAGAGUGAGAAACUUGCUCUCUAGAAAAUAUUUAAUUUCAUUUUCAAUAUUUGAAAAGCUUAUGUUAUGUUAGUUAAAAUUUGAAACUUUGAAUUCCAUUUAGAAACUAUAACAUUUACAUCAUUGUUUAUAAAAUGUCAAAGCUCAUCUCAUUUGAUCGAAUUUUGAUAAAAGAAUAAGUUUUAAAAGUUAUUAUUCCACGUUUAUUCUGUAUAAUCUUAUGUCAUUUGUAUUCAAAGUCUCAAUUGAAUUCACUGUUUGAUCAUGUAAUGUUGUUUUAGGAAUAUAUAAAUAUUUUAUAAUAACAUUCAAUUCUUGGUAGGAUUAAAAAAUCAUAUGUCUAAGUUAGUGUGUCCAUUUUACCUUGUUGAAAAGUGUUUGCUUGUAAUAAUGUCAUUACAAAUGAUAGUUUAUUUUUUUAGUGAAAUGGAAAACAUAUUAUCAUCUUCUGAGGCAGAAUCUAAAGAGCAAGCAUCUUCCCAACGUUCCAUACGGCAAAAGAAGGAUAUAGCACAUAAGUAUAUUAGUGAGGGAGCUAAUUCUAAAGGGAAGAAGGUGCUAAUAUAUGGAUUUUGUCAAAAGUAAAUAGCAAGUGGAGGUAUUAAUAGAAUGAAACAACAGCUAGCUAAAGAAAGAGGUAAUGUUGAUCCAUGUAAAAAGGUUACUGAAGAUGUUCGAUUUCAAAUAAAAGAGUUAUUGCAAGAAAUUAUUGAAAAAUCUAAAGAAAUAAGGGGAUCAUAUAAUGAUCAUGAUAAUAUUCAAGAGAUUUAUGAGCAUCAAUCUAUAAGUUCCUCUAAAGGAAAGGGAAAAGCAAGUGCUAGAAUUGACACAUUUUUCAAAAUGCCUUGCGAUCUUUCUCAACCUAGUAUCACGGCAUGCAUGCAAAGUCAAUAAAGAUGGCAUGAUACUGACUUGGAAAUUGCCUUAUAGUUUUACUAUGCAUGUAUUCCUACAAAUAUAGUGAAUUCUCUUUUUUAUCAAACUACAAUAAGUAAGAUAACAAAUUUGGGUCAUAGAUAUAAGGGUCCAUCUUAUCAUGCUUUAUGUGUAAAUUUGUUAAAAGAUGUUAAGCAACAUGUAAAAUUGAUUCUUGACUCUUAUUGAAGCACUUGGGAUGAAAUAGGUUGUUCCAUUAUGGCCAAUGGCUGGACAAACAUAAGACAAAUGUCUUUAAUAAAUUUCUUAGUAUAUUAGCCUAAAGGAAUUAUAUUUGUCAAACAGUUGAUGUUUCAAGUUUUUCCACAAAUGUAGAUACUUCGUGUAAUUUGUUUGUAGAACUGGUUGAUAUUUACUUACUAAAAGAUUUCCUCACAUUAGUUGGUCACCAUGCGCUGCUCAUUGCAUUAAUUUAAUAAUUGAAGACAUAGGAGAAAUGUUUGAGGUGCAAAGUUUGGUCAAUCUUGAUUUUAAGGUAACAAUUUUUGUUUAUAAUCAUAAAUGCACUUUGAAUUGAUUAAGAAAAAGGCCAAAUUGGAGAAAAAUUAUUCAUCCUGGAGCCACUCACUUUGCCACCAAUUUAAUUGUUUUGAAAAGUUUACAUGAUCAUAAAAAUGAUUUGCAAGCUGUUGUUAUUGUGUGGAUUACAAAAAAUUCUUAAAGAUGCAAAAGUGUAAAAAAGUUAAACAAAUUGUUCUUAAUGGAAAUUUCUGAAAUCAUUGUUUGAUCAUAGUAAGGAUUAUGACUCCACUAAUAUGUCUUUUGCGUAUUUAUGAUUUUGAUGAGAAACCUACUUAGGUUAUGUUUAUGAAGGGAUGUAUAGGGCACGCUUGGGUAUUAAGAAGUUAUUCAAAAAUAAGAAGUAUUUGUACAAGCCUUACACCAACAUUAUAAAUACUAGAUAGGAUAAAAUGUUGCGUCAAAGUCUUCAUGUUGUAGCAUAUUGGUUGAACUCAACUUUUCAAUUUGAUCGAGACAAUUUUUACAAAAAAUCAGAGAUUAUAAGUGGGUUGAUGGAUGUGACUGAAAAACAAAUUAUAUAUGACAAGUCAAGGUUGUCAGUUGAAACUGGUUUAUAUCGAGAUCGUUUAAAAAGUUUUUCUCAUUCAUUAGCUUAUACUAGUAGUAGAAGUAUUCACCCAGUGAGAAUCAAAAUUUAUCUAUGCUUUAAUGUUUACUAUUAACUUUAAUUUUAUUUACUAUAUGUUUAGUUAUUUGAUCAUUUAACUUAUUUUUUAAUGAAAGAUGAAUGGUGAAGAUUAUUUGGUUAUGAAACUUCAAAUCUAUAAAAGUUAGCAAUAAGGUUUCUUAGCCAAACAACUUUUUCUGGAUGUGAACGAAAUUAGAGUGUAUUUGACUGCAUCCACACGAAAAAAAGAAAUAGGUUAAAGCAUCAAAGGCUUAAUAAUCCUGUCUAUAUUCAUUACAAUUUGCGAUUGAAAGAUACUUAUAAAAAAAAUUAAAUUUCUUUUCUCAUGUGAUUUUACAUGUUUAUAUAUAUGUAUGUAUUUUAUAUUAGGUUUACUAAUGAGAAUAAUAUUUUUGUAUUAAUGUAUAUGAUUAUAUCCUCCAAGAAGUCAUAUGAUCCUAUAAAUUAUGAAUCAAUUGAUAAAACUAAGUUUUGGGUUGUGGAUGAAGAGGAAGAAUGAGAACUUGACUAUGAUGAAUUAGAAAACAUGUUUGAAGAAGAAUAUCGAAAAGAUAUUGAAGACUCAUGUUCUCAUGAUCCUAAAGGUUUGUUUAAAAUCAAUAGGUCUCUUAAGUUCAUGUGUAUUUCAGAUUUAUGUUAAAUUAUAACCUUAUUAUAUUUUUAUAAGCGAUGAAGAUGAUGAAAUGGUGAUAUGUGAUGACCAUGAUAAUAAUGAAGAUUGGUUGGAAAUUCCACCGUGGAGUGCUAAUUGUUUGAUUAAGAUAUUUAAAAUUGUUUUGUUGUUUUAGUUUUUUUGAGUUUUUUGUCUUUCUUUCAAUGAAUUGAAAUUUAUGAUUCAAAGAAGCAAAUAUACUUUGUUGUUAUUGAUAAUUAUACAACUUUGUUUUUGAUGAAAUUCAUAUAGUUUAUGUUUAAAAUAUGUGUUUGUUAUGAUGAUAUUAUUUAAGAAAUUCAUUAUAAUUUAUCUGAAAUUUUCCAUGAAGGAUUGAGACAUAGAAUCCUAGGUGAACUGCCAAGGAACUAACCAGGAAAUCAGGGGAGACUUCUUUCAAAGACAUUCAUUUAUGUUGUGAUAUGUGUUGCAUUGGAGAGACUUAAUGGAAUAUGCUAUAUCUUUUGCAGGGGAAAGACUUGGUGUUUGGCUUGCUCUCUUCCCAAUUGUUUAUUUAUUAGUCGGAACUGCAACAGUGUUAAUUUUGAUAGGAGGAGAUACAUUGAAACUAUUCUUCUAGAUAGUUUGUGGACCUCUUUCUUCCUCAAAUCCUCUAACAAUGAUUGAGUGGUAUUUGGUGUUCGCUUCUCUAUGCAUUGUCCUAUCUCAGCUCUCAAACCUCAACUCAAUUACAGGGCUUUCACUAGUAGGGGCUAUAAUAGCCAUUACUUACUCCACCAUGGUGUGGGUACUCUCUGUUAGCCAACAAAGGCCACCAUCAAUCUCUUAUGAGCCCCUUUCAUUGCUAUCUUGUGCAGCUUCUCUCUUUUCUAUCUUUAAUGCACUUGGAAUUAUAGCGUUUGCAUUUAGAGGCCACAAUUUAGCUAUGGAAAUAUAGGCAACAAAGCCAUCUACCUUUAAGCACCCAGCGAGUGUGCCCUAUGUGGAAAGGAGCCAAAGUUGCCUAUGUAUUCAUUGCUAUGUGUCUGUUCCCUAUAGCAAUUGGAGGCUUUUGUGCUUAUGGAAAUCAUGUAAAAUCUUUAUUCCUUAUGCAAAUGAUUGCUGAAACAUCAAUAUAAGCAGGGCUGGAUUUGAGCCGAGCUCGAGCUCGGCUCAGUUCACAUAUAGUUGUCGAGCUCGUGAAAGUCAAGCUUGAACUUAGUUCGAA